GUGCGCCACGGGCCGAGAGUGCCACCUGGGCCCCCCAUUCCACCCCCCUGGUUCCUGUGACCCCCCCCCCACCCUCCUCGAGCCGAGGAUGGGGCAGCCCACCUGACGGCGAAGGAAGACGAGACCCACAGUUGGAAAGUGCACAGGGUACCCCACUGGGGAACGCGUGGAUGGUGCGGGAGGCUGUGGAAACCCACCUGCUGACGCCUGGACCGGUGCCGCUGCUCCAACGAGCCUCACCCGGUGCCCAGCUUGAAGCUGCCACCCAGCAAUGCCUUUGAGCACAAGCCCCCUCUGGGUCCAGGAAGGCCAGGAGAAGCUUACAGGAACUGACCGCCCGUCCUCCCAGCCCUCUGGGCAGAGUCCACCUGCCCAGGACAGGUGUCCUCUGUGAGAGCAGUGGGGGCCACUGCUCACAGGCUGGGCGGGAACCCCUCUCAACCUUCCGCCAUGGCUUUUCCAAAGGCUCCAGUCAUUUAACAUGGAGCCUCAGGACCAGAUGCACCACCUUGCCCUUGACCCAAUCGCAGAAAAACAUAAUGGCACUGGGAUCUCGGUGCCAGUGCCAAGUACCGUGAACCUGUCCUUCCAGGUGGCCGUAGUCCCCUUCCAGAGUCCAGGGUCCUCUGGAUGCCCACCUCCCAUGCCCGCCAAGCUGCCUCCCCCCUCCUGACCCUUCCCAAUUACCCCCCGCUCCUGAUUCUCUGCCAGUAUUUCCUCCUCCGGUACAGGGGUGCCCCACCAGAGCCUGCAGCAGAAUCCCAUGGAGGGCCUGUCAAACACACAGCGCCUCGCCCCAGAGUGUCUGAUUCCAUGGAACUGUUCCAGCCCCUCCAGGGCCUGCCUCUCCCACAAAAUGCCAGCUGGUGCUGACACUGCUGCUGCAGGAAAUACACUUGACCCUAGGAAGUGCUAAUAAAGGUCAUUUCUGCACGACAUUAGGUAUUAUAAAAGUAGGAAGAAAUGCUUUGUAAAGAAAAAGUGGGCAGGGGAGAGCUGGGCUCAGACACGUUGGUGAAAUUCUGGGUUAAUCAAAGUCAAGAGGUUUCCUGACGGCGGGACUUUUCAGAGCCUUCAAUCUACAAAGUGUGUAUGUGUGUGUGUGUGUGUGUGUGUACGCAUGUGUGUUGGUUUCCCAAACAAAGGUGAUGGCAGACCUCUCUGGCUAGCACAUCUCAGGUUAGCAGAGCCCCGUGGGGUCCAUCUGGGGAACUACUGGGGGGACGUACAAUCAUUCCAGGGGAUAAAGGGAGGGGGUCUCUGUGCACUAACCCAUCAAGGAAAACCUGGUCAUCUUCCCCAUCCCCAUGGUCAGAACAGAGGACGUCCCCCUUGCCGAGCCCACUGGCCACCCCUGCACCCUUCACCUUUGGACCAGGCUGAAAACUGCCCUGGCAGGUGAGUGGGCCUGAGCCGUUCUGGAAAAGCAGCAGCAGAUGACAGCUGAGGAAACCGAGUCACCGGCAGGCUCAGCCGCUCCGGCAGCCACGAGGACAUGUCCCCAGGGAAUACCGAUCGGUCACCCCCUGCCCACCUACGGCUCGGCCGGGCGUCCCGUGCUGGCCAGCCUCUCUCCGGGUCUGCCACCGUCACCCCCGGGGGCCCCGUGCCCCCCUUCCAUCCCCGCGCUCAGCCCAGGACGACGGGCAGGUUCAGGGACGGCUGGGCUCAGGGGAGCAGCGAACACCACCCCACUCAUCUUCUGGGGCGAGGGAAGUGGCAGAUUUUCCCAGAUUUUCAUUUCAGCUGUUCCUGGACAUCCUGAACUUUGCACUCCAGUGUGAGGGCUCCAAAGAAUGGCUGCCAUGGCAACCGUUUCCAUGUUUUCGUCACCAAGGGACUCAACACUCAGUGUGAACUCCGAGGUGGGGUGGGGAGCCCUCCAGCCUGCAGAAGUGGCUGGGCCGUGUGUUUGACUGUGCAGACGGGGGUCACCGUGGCAACUGAGUGCCCCUCGGCUAAGCGACGGGGGAGCCAGCGUCCCUGAGAACCCCGGUUUCCUCUCCGUAGGACUGAGCUGAAUACACAAUGAGCCUCCCUCAGGAUGCCACUGUUUCCCUGUGUGCGACCGCAGACCCCUGGCCCGUCCACGCUGGCCCCCGCCACCACCCCCCCGCCAGCCGGGGGACCCUGGAGAACGCGGCUGUGAUCCCAGGCACUGAGCGUCUGCUGGUGUUACAGGCUGAGCUGUGUCUCCCAGAUUCAUAUGAUGCAGGGCUAACCCCCCACCCCCGUUUGUCGGAGAGGGAUGGUGCUCGGAGACAAGGUCUUAACAGAGGAGCAGACCUCGGCCGUCCUUCCCAGAGCUCCCCGACCUCCGCAGGGUCCCAACGCGAGGAGACUCUCAGGCCACCAGAAGCAAUCUACGAAGUAGGACGCUCCAGGUCCUGUGCUUGGGCUCCUCCAAAGGGGGCCCCGCUGCCCUAGGGCAGGCAGCCUUGUUCGUCAUCCCAAGCCUCGCUCCCCGGCUCCAGUCCUGGCCCAGGAGACUCACAGCCUGUCAGCUCUGGACCCUCGGAGGACCUGUCCUCCCGGCAUAGCAGGAAGUAGCUCCAAGCUGACUUAUGUCCCUGCUUGCAGGUUUGGGGGACCUCCUGCUGGCAUCAAAGCUCCCUCCCUGGGCCAGGUUCUAGGAAAGCUCUUUCCUCAGCACAG